UGAGAUGUCUUUGGGGCAAAAAGAUUUAUUAAAGCACGGGGACAGGCCCCAUGGGCAGAAAGAGCUGCACUGGGGUUGUGAAGAGUACUAUUAUAUACUAUGGAGUUGGAGGAGGUAAAGUCAAGAGGAAGUUUCUUAAAAGGGAUUUUCCAUAUGCUAAAGCCUCACAGAUCACUGGAGGCCUAGCUAUUGUCAAGCUAAGGUUGUUUUUCCCUCUAGCGAAGCAUUAGGACAGUAGGGAGUUCCUGGAGAAGGUUUUACUCUGCCUGCCUCAAGUGUUUGUCACCUGGCUGCAGGUUAUAAGGAAAUUGAAUUUUACCUGCCAUUUCCUUCUUGCCUUUGUUCCCCCACAUCACUAUGGAGGGGAGGGUGAUGUUGGGGCUCCAGGAAACAAGCCUAUAGGUUUCUGGAGAUUAGGCUAUUGAUAAGAUUGCCUUUUUCUUGUAAUUUACUAAGGUAUUUGUAAAUGGAUGGAGACUUGCGUCCUGCAGGACUGCGAUCUCUAUCAGUUAACCAUUUGUUUUCUGUCCUUUCCUCUGUUCUUAGGCAGCCAGGAGUCCACGAGGAAUAUACGUCUCCCACCUGGGGUGGGGGAUGGGAGGUAUGCUAGCUUGUGCUUGGCCUUCGGCUUGCCUUAUGCUCCCUCAUCAGAAGAGACAUCAGUAGACAUCCCUGGAGUCUGUGAAUGAAUGAAUGAAUGAAUGAAUGACCAAAUUUUUUGAAUGGAUAAAUGCUGGGAGGACAAGAGAUGAUGGAGGUAUGGAAGAGGCUACAUGCUUCAAGGAAUUAGUAGACAAUCGAGUCCUUUAUGACAUGGAGGAAUAGUCCCAGGUGAAAAAUGUUGGAACUAAUAUGUUGAAAAAAAGAACUUUACAGGAAGUUUUAAGAGUAAUACAAUGAACUCCCCUUCGCCUGGAUCCAGUCUCAAUCAUCUUGAGAUCUCUGGAUUCCGGUGCGCAGAAGGCACUGGAAUGUGGAGUUACUAAAUGAAUGCCCUAAGGAAGAACAAGCAAACCGUGCUGUGCCAAGUUCCUGUAGGUUAAAAUCGCAGCUGGGGAUGAAUACUGUGAAAUAGGGAGAGGGGAGAAAUGAACCCGACUCAAGGAUGGGCGCAAAGAAGGAACGAAGACAGAACAGACAAAGAGAUUACAUGGACCACGUGUUUAUUUUGCCCGCUGAAUGCUUGCUUUAUUUUAUUUCAUAUCAUUUUUGGCUUGGCUUAUUUUACGUAGCAAGGGAAACAAACAAAUCACCAGGAGUCCAGGUGAAUACCACACCAGAAUGAAACAGACCAGACACGUGGAUAGCAUACUUCCAACAAAACCUUACUAGUUCACUCGUCGCCCGUUUUGCAGUUUGGGCUUAUUUAGACAAGCUAGGCUAAAUUUCAUCUUGGCGUUAUUAAUUCUAUGAGAAAGUGUACUAAGCAAAUGAACAGUAUAAGCAGGGGAAAUGUUGAAUAUUUGCUCUAGGGAGAGCAAGAGCAAAUGAACAGCUUUAAAAUCCUUUCUAAUUAUGUUGAUGUGCUGAACUUUUGUCUAAUUAUUAUGUUCCUUGAAAACUGAGUAGAAAUUUUUUUUUUCCUAAACCAUAUUUUAAAAGCGCUGGGGGAAAUGUGACUUUAACAUAAAGAUGAACCCUUCAGGGGCAAAAGACUGGGGGCGCCUGGGUGGCUCUGUCUGUUGAGUGUCGGAUUUCGGCUCAGAUCAUGAUCUCACAGUUCGUGAGUUCCAGCCCCACAUUGGGCUCUGUGCUGACAGCUCAGAGCCUGGAGCCUGCUUCAGAUUCUGUGUCUCCCUCUCUCUCUGCCCGCCCUCCCUCACCCCCCCGACCCCUGCUCACGCUCUGUCUCUCUCUGUCUCCUGAAAAUAAAUAAACAUCAAAAAAUUUAAUAUAUAUCCGGGGCAGAA